rnacentral:rRNA from 1 species
GAUGAACGCUGGCGGCGUGCCUAACACAUGCAAGUCGAGCGAACAGAUGAGGAGCUUGCUCCUCUGCCGUUAGCGGCGGACGGGUGAGUAACACGUGGAUAACCUACCUAUAAGACUGGGAUAAUUUCGGGAAACCGGAGCUAAUACCGGAUAAUAUAUUGAACCGCAUGGAUCAAUAGUGAAAGACGGUUUUGCUGUCACUAUUAGAUGGAUCCGCGUCGCAUUAGCUAGUUGGUAAGGUAACGGCUUACCAAGGCAACGAUGCGUAGCUGACCUGAGAGGAUGAUCGGCCACACUGGAACUGAGACACGGUCCAGACUCCUACGGGAGGCAGCAGUAGGGAAUAUUGGGCAAAGGGCGAAAGCCUGACGCAGCAACGCCGCGUGAGUGAUGAAGGUCUUCGGAUCGUAAAACUCUGUUAUUGGGGAAGAACAGAUGUAUGAUAAAAUAUGCACGUCUUGACGGUACCUAAUCAAAAAGCAACGGCUAACUACGUG